UUGUUUAUUUCAUUUGGUUUAUUUUCAUAGAGUUUUGCCUAAAUUUAUACAAAAAUAUAUUCUAUAUUACAAAACAUUCAAAUACAUUGUGUCUAUAUAUUGAUGGAUAUACACUGAUGGAUACAAAUGACGAAGGCAGGCCUUCUACGUUUACGCUUGUGGUACAUGGAAAAGAAGCGUUCUUUCACGCGGAUCAAAGGAGGACUUUAAAGAUCAAGAUAUAAAGUCGUAAAAGCUGUCUUAAUCGGUAUCACUCAGGAUCUUCUGUUCGCAAGCGAUAGGGUGAUCAUAUUUUCACAGUAAGAGGAAGAGGCCAAGUGGAACGUAGAAUUCGCACGGCCGUGCGAAUUGAAUGGAAGGUUAUGAAUAUCCGAUCUUCUGUCGAAGCUGCGUGUCAUAGCCAACCGCCUUCUUCUAACCGACGAUGCCUUUGUCUGCCGCCUCAUGUAACUAGGUAUUCCCUCGGUCAGGAUGAAAGUGAAAACUUCGCUCUGUUCGUAGAUGACCUACUCUUUGCCAAGAAUCUGGGUGCCCCAUCACACCGUGGCAUUACGCGCUCUCGGUCGUCAUGUGCACCGCCGCUAGGGAAGCAGUUACGAUACAUCUUCGUAACUUCCAAUUUUAUUUUACGAUCUAACUGAACCAACACCUUUGCUCUAUGCAAACAAUUCUAUUUUAAUUGGAUUACGUACGCCUAAAUGGUCCAAAGAAAAAAAGAAAGAAAGAAAGAAAAAAAGAAGAACAAAGGAAAAGGAAAAAUCGCAACUUUUAUGAUCUUUUCUCUUUUUUCGCAUGUAAUUUAUUUUAUUGAUAACAAAAUUAUUAUAUCAUGUAUGAUAUUGUCUACUUCGAAAAAGUAUUUUUCAACGAACAUAUUGAAACAAUCUAUUAUCAUCUCGGAGUUAUCGAGGUCGAAUUAAACAGAGUCAUUUUGUAUGUUGUUGUUUACGCGGUGCCAGCAAUAACUCUUUCUCAUUCCAAAUUAUCAAAGAUAAAAAAAAAGAAAAGAAAGAAAGAAAAAACAAAGAAACAAGAAGCAUUUAAGGCAAAUUAAAAAAAAAAAAAAAAGAAAGAAAACCUUCCGUCCUUCACGAAGCCGAUUCUUAAUAUUUUCGUUUAACAAAAAAAUAUUAAUGAUCGAAUUUAUCAUGCGAGUUUCGAUAAAAAAUUUCAAUACCUUUGUAAUGAUUAAAAAAAAAAAAAGAAUGAUGACUCCUUACAAAAAUUUCCAUUAUCACAAAGACUAGAUAAUGGAUAUGAAAGAGAAAAUUUCAUUCAUCCAAAUCGAUUUAGCAAUCUUUUUCUUUUUCUUCUUUUUUUUUUUUUUAAAUAUUUCCAACUUUGCGAAACAGAUAGCUUCUUUAUUUAUUUAUUUAUUUACUUUUUUUUGGUGUUUCCUAAUAUUCAUCAUUUUAUCUUAUGCAUUAUCAUCUGUUAGUAUCCAUUACUUUUCUUUUGUUAAUAAAACAUUUAAUCUUAGAAUGAUCGGAGGAUCGUUAAAUCGAUCGAGCAGUACUACUGACAAUGAGUAGUAACGAGUCGAGCGAUGAUUCAGUGCUGUAGCACCGAUAGCCAGUCGAGCGGUACUCAUUAUUUCAACCAUAACUCCCAAGAUAUGUUAAAAUACAAUCUCGAUCAUAGCAGCGACGCUUGAUUAUACGACAGAAAAAGAUACGCAUAUGUUGAAAAUGUUAAGGACGCAUCAAUCAUUUAUAAUUAACUAAAUAAAAAAGUUCAAGAUA